UGGGGAAUAUUGGACAAUGGGCGAAAGCCUGAUCCAGCAAUGCCGCGUGUGUGAAGAAGGCCUGCGGGUUGUAAAGCACUUUCGUGGGGGGGGAAGGCAUUAGUUUUAAUAAAACUGAUGAUUGACGUUACCCCAAGAAGAAGCACCGGCUAACUCUGUGCCAGCAGCCGCGGUAAUACAGAGGGUGCAAGCGUUAAUCGGAAUUACUGGGCGUAAAGGGUGGGUAGGUGGCAAAAUAAGUUAGGUGUGAAAUCCUCGGGCUUAACCUGAGAAUUGCGCUUAAUACUGUCUAGCUAGAGUACUAUAGAGGGUAGUGGAAGUUCCGGUGUAGCGGUGAAAUGCGUAGAUAUCGGAAGGAACACCAGUGGCGAAGGCGACUACCUGGAUAGAUACUGACACUGAUACACGAGAGCGUGGGUAGCAAACA
rnacentral:rRNA from 1 species